UAACAAGGAUUCCCCUAGUAACGGCGAGCGAAGCGGGAAGAGCUCAAAUUUGAAAGCUGGCACCUCCGGUGUCCGCGUUGUAAUCUCGAGACGUGUUUUCCGUGCGGCUCUAUGGACAAGUCCCUUGGAAUAGGGCAUCGUAGAGGGUGAGAAUCCCGUACUUGCCAUGGAAGAACCGUGCUUUGCGAUACACGCUCUAAGAGUCGAGUUGUUUGGGAUUGCAGCUCAAAAUGGGUGGUAGACUCCAUCUAAAGCUAAAUAUCGGGGAGAGACCGAUAGCGAACAAGUACCGUGAGGGAAAGAUGAAAAGCACUUUGGAAAGAGAGUUAAAAGUACGUGAAAUUGUCGAAAGGGAAGCACUUGAAGUCAGCCAUGCUGCUUGAGACUCAGCCUGGCCUUUGGGCUUGGUGUAUUUCUCGGUGGCAAGCCAGCAUUGGUUUGGGUCGUCGGAGAAGCGCAUAGGGAAUGUAGCGUCUCCGGACGUGUUAUAGCCUUAUGCAGGAUACGACGACCUGGAUCAAGGAACGCAGUGUGCCCUCUGGGCGGGUCUUCGGACACCUUCACACUUAGGAUGCUGCGUAAU
rnacentral:rRNA from 1 species